AUACGGAGGAUGCGAGCGUUAUCCGGAUUUAUUGGGUUUAAAGGGAGCGUAGGUGGGAUAUUAAGUCAGCUGUGAAAGUUUGGGGCUCAACCUUAAAAUUGCAGUUGAUACUGGUUUCCUUGAGUACGGUAUAGGUGGGCGGAAUUCGUGGUGUAGCGGUGAAAUGCUUAGAUAUCACGAAGAACUCCGAUCGCGAAGGCAGCUCACCGGGCCGGAACUGACACUGAUGCUCGAAAGUGCGGGUAUCAAACAGGAUUAGAUACCCUGGUAGUCCGCACAGUAAACGAUGAAUACUCGCUGUUUGCGAUACACUGUAAGCGGCCAAGCGAAAGCGUUAAGUAUUCCACCUGGGGAGUACGCCGACAACGGUGAAACUCAAAGGAAUUGACGGGG
rnacentral:rRNA from 1 species